CCCUUAGAUGUUCUGGGCCGCACGCGCGCUACACUGAUGCAUUCAACGAGUUUCUUCCUGGUCCGAGAGGAAUGGGUAACCUUUUGAAAGUGCAUCGUGAUAGGGAUAGACUAUUGCAAUUAUUGGUCUUCAACGAGGAAUUCCUAGUAGACGUAGUUCAUCAGACUGCAUCGAUUACGUCCCUGCCCUUUGUACACACCGCCCGUCGCUACUACCGAUUGGAUGGUUUAGCGAGAACUUUGGACCGGAGCUCGGGUGGUCAGCAAUGGUCGCCCGAGAUGUCUGGGAAAUCGUUCCAGCUUGAUCAUCUAGAGGAAGUAAAAGUCGUAACA
rnacentral:rRNA from 1 species